rnacentral:rRNA from 1 species
UACGAAGGGGGCUAGCGUUGUUCGGAAUCACUGGGCGUAAAGGGCGCGUAGGCGGCUUUGUAAGUCGGGGGGUGAAAGCCUGUGGCUCAACCACAGAAUUGCCUUCGAUACUGCAUGGCUUGAGACCGGAAGAGGUAAGUGGAACUGCGAGUGUAGAGGUGAAAUUCGUAGAUAUUCGCAAGAACACCAGUGGCGAAGGCGGCUUACUGGUCCGGUUCUGGACGCUGAGGCGCGAAAAGCGUGGGGGAGCAAACAGG